rnacentral:rRNA from 1 species
UGAGUAACGCGUGAGCAACCUGCCUUUCAGAGGGGGAUAACGUUGGAAACGAACGCUAAUACCGCAUAAUGUAAUUUUGCUGCAUGACGAGAUUACCAAAGGAGCAAUCCGCUGAAAGAUGGGCUCGCGUCCGAUUAGAUAGUUGGUGGGGUAACGGCCUACCAAGUCGACGAUCGGUAGCCGGACUGAGAGGUUCGAACGGCCACAUUGGGACUGAGACACGGCCCAGACUCCUACGGGAGGCAGCAGUGGGGAAUAUUGCACAAUGGGCGCAAGCCUGAUGGCCAGCAACGCCGCGUGAGGGAAGACGGUUUUCGGAUUUGUAAACCUCGUGUCCUUGGUGAAGAUCAUGACGGUAGCCGAGGAGGAAGCCACGGCUAACUACGUGCCAGCCGCAGC